AAAUAAACCCACACCCCACCUUGUCCUCCCACUCUCUACACGACCCCAGCCAGCCACCUCCCUCCCAGCGAUGUGCCGCACCUCCCUCCGAUGCGGCGCGCCCCUACCUGCCCCACCUUAUCCGGUGAUGCCGCCCACCACCACCUCCCUCCCCGUGCCACGCCCCACCUCCCUACCCACCUUCUCCGGCGCGGCGCAUACCCUGCCCACCUUCUCAGUUGGCGCCGCCUCCCUUCUCCACUACGCCGCCCCAUCCCGCGGCGCCGGGCUCCCCCCCUCCUGCGCCACGCCGCUUUCCUCCUCGCGCCGCCGCGCCAGCCCCCUCCCGCACCGCCGGGCCGCCCCGCUCCCGCGCGGCGCCACUUCCCUCCUCGCCGCCUCCCUCCCGCCGCGCGCCGCCGCACCAGUUACACCACCGCCCCCGACGGAUCCCGUCGACCCCAGAGACCACCGGCGUGAUGGAGCCCCCCCAACCCCACCGUCCCGACGGAUCCUUGCGCCCUCGAAUCGGGCCGAGCCUGGCACCCACGGAUCCAGCCGAGCCUCGUGUCUCCGGCCAUCUUCCUUGCUGGAUCCAGGGAGGAUCCUGCUGCGCCGUCGCGCCCCUUCCCCUGCUGCGCCGCCGCACCCGGAUCCAGUCAACCUCCAGCCGGUGCCCACCAUCACGCGCAGCCUGGAGUUGGCGGGCGGAUCCAGCCCCGGUCCAUCGUCCUCGCGGCAGAGAGCUAGAUCGAGGGGAGAAGACAUCCCAUGUUUUCCAGCGUCCUCCACCAACCACGGCAACGUGUGCGGCGGCUGACUGCUUCCUAUGGCUACUUGACGGACAACACUUCCGUGGCGGCCGGCGGUGAGUGCCACACCAUCCAACUUCCACCCACAUGCGCGUGCAGUGCACAACCGCUGCGUUGCAGCCACCUUCCAGGUGCUUGGGUCUCCCGUCGAGGGCCUCCAUCGGCAGUGGUCGUAGUAGCUACGGGAGCACAGCUGUAGGUGGCGCUGUGGCAUCAUUGCUUCUGCUACUAACUGCAGACCACUUUGUUGCAGCUUGCAGCCCACAUCAGGGGGGUGAGCAGCUCCCAUGGGAGGAGUUCGGGGGCGGCAGUGCACUCCGGUGGGAGCAGUGGUGCACUCUGGUCAUGGUGCAGUGCACCCCGUUUCAGUAUGCCAUAUCAACACAUCUUUGGCGUUGGGCUUUCUAUCAGCUAGUGAAAAUAGCUUGCUUGUGGCAAGCUGGUGUGUGCUUGAAGCAGUCGUGUGUGUGUGGAUGUGCAGUGCAGUCAGGCGAUGUGUGCAGGUUGGGUGGGAGCCUGUUGCAGUUCGGCAACCAGCCAUACCAUGAUGCAGUUUGAGGAGGUGCAUGCAUGUCCGUGUGGUCUCUGUUGUUCACCGAGUCCGACUUUUCUUUAUUUUGUUUGAUGCUUGCUAUGUAAAAUUUCCAAGGUCUCUUUUUUGUAAUUAUUGAAGAAGUAGUGUUGUUCGUUGUGCCA